GACGAACGCUGGCGGCGUGCUUAACACAUGCAAGUCGAACGGAAAGGCCCUGCUUUUGUGGGGUGCUCGAGUGGCGAACGGGGGAGUAACACGUGAGUAAACUGCCCUUGACUUUGGGAUAACUUCAGGAAACUGGGGCUAAUACCGGAGAGGAGCUCCUGCUGCAUGGUGGGGGUUGGAAAGUUUCGGCGGUUGGGGAUGGACUCGCGGCUUAUCAGCUUGUUGGUGGGGUAGGGGCUUACCAAGGCUUUGACGGGUAGCCGGCCUGGGAGGGUGGCCGGCCACCUUGGGACUGAGGUACGGCCCAGACUCCUACGGGAGGCAGCAGUGGGGAAUAUUGCACAAUGGGCCGACGCCUGAUGCAGCAACGCCGCGUGCGUGAUGACGGCCUUCGGGUUGUAAACCGCUUUCGCCUGUGCCGAAGCGUGCGUGACGGUAAUGGGUAAAGAAGCACCGGCUAACUACGUG
rnacentral:rRNA from 1 species